rnacentral:rRNA from 1 species
CCUACGGGAGGCAGCAGUGAGGAAUAUUGGUCAAUGGACGAGAGUCUGAACCAGCCAAGUAGCGUGAAGGAUGACUGCCCUAUGGGUUGUAAACUUCGUUUAUAGGGGAAUAAAAUGUUCCACGUGUGGGAUGUUGUAUGGACCAUAUGAAUAAGGAUCGGCUAACUCCGUGCCAGCAGCCGCGGUAAUACGGAGGAUCCGAGCGUUAUCCGGAUUUAUUGGGUGUAAAGGGAGCGUAGGUGGAUUGUUAAGUCAGUUGUGAAAGUUUGCGGCUCAACCGUAAAAUUGCAGGUGAAACUGGCAGUCUUGAGUACAGUUGAGGUAGGCGGAAUUCGUGGUGUAGCGG